rnacentral:rRNA from 1 species
GAUCAAGCUACUAAGGGCACUUGGUGGAUGCCUUGGCAUAAGGAGGCGAUGAAGGACGUGGUAAGCUGCGAUAAGCUUCGGUGAGCUGCAAACAAGCUUUGAUCCGGAGAUUUCCGAAUGGGGAAACCUCUCUCAAUAAACUUGAGAGACUACUCUCUGAAUAUAUAGGAGAGUUAGAGCUAACUCAGGGAAGUGAACCAUCUCAGUACCUGAAGGAAAAGAAAACAACCGUGAUUUCCAAAGUAGCGGCGAGCGAAAUGGAAAGAGCCUAAACCAUUCAAGAGCAAUUGCGAGUGGGGUUGCAGGACCGCAUAAGUAGAGUUAUAAAUCAAGGGGCUAGUUGAACGACUUGGGAAGGUCGGCCAAAGAAUGUGACAGCCAUGUAAGCGAAAGCCUUUUGACUCGAAGCGGUAUCCUAAGUACCGCGGGGCACGUGAAACCCUGUGGGAAUCCAGGAGGACCAUCUCCUAAGGCUAAAUACUACCUUAUGACCGAUAGUGAACCAGUACCGUGAGGGAAAGGUGAAAAGUACCCCUGCGAGGGGAGUUAAAAGUACCUGAAACCAAGUGCUUACAAGCAGUGGAAGGGCUGUGGUUGCAAAACCCGCCUGACCGCGUGCCUUUUGCAUAAUGAGCCGGCUAGUUAUUUUCUGUGGCAAGGUUAAGCGUAAGCGAGCCGUAGCGAAAGCGAGUCUUAAUAGGGCGAAUUGAGUCGCAGGGAAUAGACGUGAAACGGGAUGAUCUAUCCUUGGCCAGGGUGAAAGACGGGUAACACCGUGUGGAGGCCCGAACCAAUGUUGGUUGAAAACAGCUUGGAUGAGCUGAGGAUAGGGGUGAAAGGCUAAUCAAAUUCCGUGAUAGCUCGUUCUCCCCGAAAUAGCUUUAGGGCUAGCCUCAUGUGAUUUGUCUCGGUGGUAGAGAACUGAAUGGACUAGGGGCCUUACCAGGUUACUGAAUCCAAUCAAACUUCGAAUGCCGUUAACAACAGCAUGGGAGUCAGACAGUGGGGGCUAAGCUUCAUUGUCGAGAGGGAAAGAACCCAGAUCAUCAGCUAAGGUCCCUAAGUGCAGACUAAGUGGGAAAGGAAGUGGAAAAGCACAGACAGCCAGGAGGUUGGCUUAGAAGCAGCCAUCCUUUAAAGAAAGCGUAACAGCUCACUGGUCAAGCAGUUCCGUGCCGACAAUUUAACGGGGCUUAAGUCUGCCACCGAAGCUAUGAAAUAUAUUUACUUAGGUAAAUAGAUUGGUAGGGGAGCGUUCCGUACUGGAUGAAGCCUUAUCGAGAGGAAAGGUGGACGGUACUGAAGAGACCCUGCCGGCAUAAGUAGCGAUAAACCAGGUGAGAACCCUGGUCGCCGAAAGUCUAAGGUUUCCUGAAAAAGGUUAAUCCGUUCAGGGUUAGUCGGUCCCUAAGUCGAGGUCGAAAGGCGUAGACGAUGGGGAACAGGUCAACAUUCCUGUACUACUAAGUGCGCGUUAUCACCAAUGGGGUGACGCAGAAGGAUAAGCUGGACGGCUGAUGGAUGCGCCGUUCCAAGCUCUUAGGGGGAACAAAUAGGAAAAUCCGUUUGUUCAUUAACCCUGAAAAGUUAUGGGGAGCCCGCAAGGGUUAAUCAAACCAGCUGAUUCCACACUGCCAAGAAAAACCUCUAGGGAGUUCACUCAGUAACCGUACCGCAAACCGACACAGGUAGACAAGGAGAGUAUCCUAAGGCGCUUGAGAGAACACACGUUCAGGAACUCGGCAAAAUAACUCCGUAACUUCGGGAGAAGGAGUGCCCCGUUAGGGUUUAUAGCCCGAAGGGGUUGCAGUGAAAUGGCCCAAGCGACUGUUUAACAAAAACAUAGGUCUCUGCAAAGUCGAAAACGACGUAUAGGGGCUGACGCCUGCCCGGUGCCGGAAGGUUAAGAGGAGAGGUUAGUCGCAAGACGAAGCUUUGAAUUGAAGCCCCGGUGAACGGCGGCCGUAACUAUAACGGUCCUAAGGUAGCGAAAUUCCUUGUCGGGUAAGUUCCGACCUGCACGAAUGGCGUAACGAUUUGGGCACUGUCUUAACGUGUGACUCAGCGAACUUGUAAUACCGGUGAAGAUGCCGGUUACCCGCAUCAAGACGGAAAGACCCCGUGCACCUUAACUAUACCUUAGCAAUGAAUUAUGGUCCGUUAUGCGCAGAAUAGGUGGGAGGCUUUGAACCAUGCCCUUUGGGGUGUGGGGAGCCAUCGGUGAGAUACCACCCUUAUCGGUCUGUGUUUCUAACCUAUUACCGUUAUCCGGUAAAGGGACAUUGCUAGGCGGGUAGUUUGACUGGGGCGGUCGCCUCCCAAAAUGUAACGGAGGCGCUCAAAGGUGUCCUCAGGCUGAUUGGAAACCAGCCGCAGAGUGUAAAGGCAUAAGGACGCUUAACUGCGAGACAGACAAGUCGAGCAGAUAGGAAACUAGGACUUAGUGAUCCGGUGGUUCUGUAUGGAAAGGCCAUCGCUCAACGGAUAAAAGGUACGCCGGGGAUAACAGGCUUAUCUUGCCCAAGAGUUCAUAUCGACGGCAAGGUUUGGCACCUCGAUGUCGGCUCAUCGCAUCCUGGAGCUGUAGCAGGUUCCAAGGGUUAGGCUGUUCGCCUAUUAAAGCGGUACGUGAGCUGGGUUCAGAACGUCGCGAGACAGUUCGGUCCCUAUCUGGUGUGGGCGCAGGAGAUUUGAGGAAGGCUGUCCUUAGUACGAGAGGACCGGGAUGGACGAACCUCUAGUGUACCAGUUGUUUCGCCAGAAGCAGUCGCUGGGUAGCUACGUUCGGUCGGGAUAAACGCUGAAUGCAUAUAAGCGUGAAGCCCAUUCCAAGAUGAGAUCUCCCAACCAAUAGGUAAGAAGACCUGUAGUAGACUACUACGUUGAUAGGCUGGAUGUGUAAGGUCAGUAAUGGCUUCAGCUAACCAGUACUAAUCGGUCGUUCGGCUUGAUCUU